GUCCUAGAUUCGGCUGGACAUAUACCAAAAUUGGAACGAUUCAGAGUAGAUUAACCAAGUCCCUGCGCAAAGAUGUUUUAUGCGUCACUCGGAGCGAUCAUUU